rnacentral:rRNA from 1 species
GAUGAACGCUGGCGGCGAGCUUAACACAUGCAAGUCGAACGAAGCAUUUAGAACAGAUUACUUCGGUUUGAAGUUCUUUAUGACUGAGUGGCGGACGGGUGAGUAACGCGUGGGUAACCUGCCUUGUACUGGGGGAUAGCAGCUGGAAACGGCUGGUAAUACCGCAUAAGCGCACAAUGUUGCAUGACAUGGUGUGAAAAACUCCGGUGGUAUAAGAUGGACCCGCGUCUGAUUAGCUAGUUGGUGAGAUAACAGCCCACCAAGGCGACGAUCAGUAGCCGACCUGAGAGGGUGACCGGCCACAUUGGGACUGAGACACGGCCCAGACUCCUACGGGAGGCAGCAGUGGGGAAUAUUGCACAAUGGAGGAAACUCUGAUGCAGCGACGCCGCGUGAGUGAAGAAGUAAUUCGUUAUGUAAAGCUCUAUCAGCAGGGAAGAUAGUGACGGUACCUGACGAAGAAGCUCCGGCUAAAUACGUG